GAUGAAGAACGCAGCGAAAUGCGAUAAGUAAUGUGAAUUGCAGAAUUCAGUGAAUCAUCGAAUCUUUGAACGCACAUUGCGCCCCCUGGUAUUCCGGGGGGCAUGCCUGUCCGAGCGUCAUUACGACCCUCAAGCUCAGCUUGGUGUUGGGCCCGCCGCCCCGGCGGGCCCUAAAGUCAGUGGCGGUGCCGUCCGGCUCCGAGCGUAGUAAUUCUUCUCGCUCUGGAGGUCCGGUCGUGUGCUCGCCAGCAACCCCCAAUUUUUUUCAGGUUGACCUCGGAUCAGGUAGGGAUACCCGCUGAACUUAAGCAUAUCAAUAAGCGGAGGA
rnacentral:misc_RNA from 1 species